rnacentral:lncRNA from 14 species
CCUCUCCUCACGUCUGUUGUACAAUUACGGAUCUUCUGGGUUGUUUAAUGUGCAAGUUCCGCAGAGGCUCUUUCUCCCAGGGGACUUCUUUUUGAGUCAUGAGGAAUAAUAUUAAGGAUGGAUCCCCAGUGC